AGAAUCAACGCUGGCGGCGUGCCUAACACAUGCAAGUCGAACGAGAAAGGGUAGCAAUACCUGAGUAAAGUGGCGCACGGGUGAGUAACACGUGACUAACCUACCUUUUAGUGGGGGAUAACCUAGGGAAACCUGGGCUAAUACCGCAUAAUACCUACGGGUCAAAGCAGUAAUGCGCUGGAAGAGGGGGUCGCGGCCGAUUAGCUAGUUGGCGGGGUAAUGGCCCACCAAGGCAGUGAUCGGUAU
rnacentral:rRNA from 1 species